ACUCCUACGGGAGGCAGCAGUGGGGAAUUUUGGACAAUGGGGGCAACCCUGAUCCAGCCAUUCCGCGUGAGUGAAGAAGGCCUUCGGGUUGUAAAGCUCUUUCAGCCGGAACGAAACGGUAUUCCUUAAUACGGGAUGCUAAUGACGGUACCGGCRGAAGAAGCACCGGCUAACUACGUGCCAGCAGCCGCGGUAAUACGUAGGGUGCGAGCGUUAAUCGGAAUUACUGGGCGUGAAGCGUGCGCAGGCGGAUUGUUAAGCAAGAUGUGAAAUCCCCGGGCUUAACCUGGGAAUGGCAUUUUGAACUGGCAGUCUAGAGUGUGUCAGAGGGGGGUGGAAUUCCACGUGUAGCAGUGAAAUGCGUAGAUAUGUGGAGGAACACCAAUGGCGAAGGCAGCCCCCUGGGAUAACACUGACGCUCAUGUACGAAAGCGUGGGUAGCAAACAGGAUUAGAUACCCUGGUAGUCCACGCCCUAAACGAUGUCAACUGGUUGUUGGGGGAGUGAAAUCCCUUAGUAACGAAGCUAACGCGUGAAGUUGACCGCCUGGGGAGUACGGUCGCAAGAUUAAAACUCAAAUGAAUUGACGG
rnacentral:rRNA from 1 species